UACGAGGGGGGCAAGCGUUGUUCGGAAUCAUUGGGCGUAAAGCGCGUGUAGGUGGUUAGAUAAGUCGAUUGUGAAAUCCCUGGGCUCAACCGAGGAAGUGCAGUCGAAACUAUCUAGCUAGAGGACGGCAGAGGAAGGUGGAAUUCCAAGUGUAGAGGUGAAAUUCGUAGAUAUUUGGAGGAAUACCUGUGGCGAAGGCGGCCUUCUGGACCGGUCCUGACACUGAGACGCGAAAGCGUGGGGAGCAAACAGG
rnacentral:rRNA from 1 species